AAAGGAAUUGACGGGGAAGAGCACAACCGGUGGAGCAUGUGGUUUAAUUCGAGACAAAGCGAAGAACCUUACCCAGGUUUGACAUGUAUCUGCACGAUCUAGGAAACUAGAUUUUCUUCGAGAGUGAUACACAGGUGAUGCAUGGCUGUCGUCAGUUUGUGUCGUGAGACGCCCACUUAAGUGUGGCAACAAACGCAACCCUUGCCGUAUGUUAUACGUGUCAUACGGGACUGCCCUGCUUAUAGCGGGGAGGAAGGAGAGGACGACGUCAAGUCAGCACGUCCCUUACAUCUGGGGCUACACACAUCCUACAAUGGAGCCGACAACAGGUAGCGAAGCCGUCAGGCUGAGCCAAUCCUCCAAACGGCCCCUCAGUUCGGAUUGAAGGCUGCAACUCGCCUUCAUGAAGCCGGAAUCGGUAGUAAUCGCAAAUCAGCAGGUUGCGGUGAAUACGUUCUCUCUUCUUGUACACACCGCCCGU
rnacentral:rRNA from 1 species